GCCGCGAUGGUCCAGUGGUUAGAGCACUGGACUCCGACCCCCGUGGUCCCGAGUUCAAUUCCCGGUCGCGGCA
rnacentral:tRNA from 1 species